GCCCUUAGAGUUUGAUCCUGGCUCAGGACGAACGCUGGCGGCGUGCUUAACACAUGCAAGUCGAACGGGGUGUUUAUUUCGGUAAACAUCAAGUGGCGAACGGGUGAGUAACGCGUAAGCAAUCUACCUUCAAGAUGGGGACAACACUUCGAAAGGGGUGCUAAUACCGAAUGAAUGUAAGAGUAUCGCAUGAGACACUUACUAAAGGAGGCCUCUGAAAAUGCUUCCGCUUGAAGAUGAGCUUGCGUCUGAUUAGCUAGUUGGUGAGGGUAAAGGCCCACCAAGGCGACGAUCAGUAGCCGGUCUGAGAGGAUGAACGGCCACAUUGGGACUGAGACACGGCCCAGACUCCUACGGGAGGCAGCAGUGGGGAAUCUUCCGCAAUGGGCGAAAGCCUGACGGAGCAACGCCGCGUGAACGAUGAAGGUCUUAGGAUCGUAAAGUUCUGUUGUUAGGGACGAAGGGCAAGGGUUAUAAUACAGCCUUUGUUUGACGGUACCUAACGAGGAAGCCACGGCUAACUACGUGCCAGCAGCCGCGGUAAUACGUAGGCGGCAAGCGUUGUCCGGAAUUAUUGGGCGUAAAGGGAGCGCAGGCGGGAAACUAAGCGGAUCUUAAAAGUGCGGGGCUCAACCCCGUGAUGGGGUCCGAACUGGUUUUCUUGAGUGCAGGAGAGGAAAGCGGAAUUCCCAGUGUAGCGGUGAAAUGCGUAGAUAUUGGGAAGAACACCAGUGGCGAAGGCGGCUUUCUGGACUGUAACUGACGCUGAGGCUCGAAAGCUAGGGUAGCGAACGGGAUUAGAUACCCCGGUAGUCCUAGCCGUAAACGAUGGAUACUAGGUGUGGGAGGUAUCGACCCCUUCCGUGCCGGAGUUAACGCAAUAAGUAUCCCGCCUGGGGAGUACGGCCGCAAGGUU
rnacentral:rRNA from 1 species